AACUUUCGGCAACGGAUCUCUUGGUUCUCGCAACGAUGAAGAACGCAGCGAAUUGCGAUAAGUAAUGUGAAUUGCAUAUUCCGUGAAUCAUUAAAUCUUUGAACGCACAUUGCGCCUAUUGGUUAUCCGAUAGGCAUAUCUGUUUGAGAAUCAGUUUAACAUCACUAACGAGAGAAGGCAACUUCUCUGGUUAGUGGCUUUGGGGUCCUCUUUAUUGAGUUCCCUUGAAUUGAUUUAACUUGUUUGAGCUCCUGUUGAAGCACGGACGCAUUAUCAAGGUGUUGACCAUUAGUACGCAAGGAAAACGGUCAUUAUUGCCAAAAGAUUUGCUAGUAGUGUUUCAUAAAGGACUUGAUGAUGGUUAUGUCUAUGACAAUUUAACACCAAGUCACUUGUGACUUGAAGACUUGAUCUCAAAUCAGAUAAGACUACCCGCUGAACUUAAGCAUAUCAAUAAGCGGAGGCU
rnacentral:misc_RNA from 1 species